rnacentral:snoRNA from 1 species
GCUGCCCUUAGAGGCGUAGGUAUAGCAGGUGUGGCUGCUGUGUCACGUGUGCAUCAGCAGGUGGCAGAGGAGAGAGGCUAUGUCUACCUUCAGUGUUCUGAACAUCUGAACGACGGUCCUGAAAAA